GACGAACGCUGGCGGCGUGCCUAAUACAUGCAAGUCGAGCGGACUUACAAAAGCUUGCUUUUGUAAGUUAGCGGCGGACGGGUGAGUAACACGUGGGCAACCUGCCCUUGAGACUGGGUUAACUUCGGGAAAUCGGAGCUAAUACCGGACAAUAUAAAGAACCUCCUGGUUCUUUAUCGAACGAUGGUUUCGGCUAUCACUUAAGGAUGUGACCGCGGCGCAUUAGCUAGUUGGUGAGGUAACGGCUCACCAAGGCGACGAUGCGUAGCCGACCUGAGAGGGUGAUCGGCCACACUGGGACUGAGACACGGCCCAGACUCCUACGGGAGGCAGCAGUAGGGAAUCUUCCACAAUGGACGAAAGUCUGAUGGAGCAACGCCGCGUGAGUGAUGAAGGCCUUCGGGUCGUAAAGCUCUGUUGUUAGGGAAGAACAAGUGCGAGAGUAACUGCUCGCACCUUGACGGUACCUAACCAGAAAGCCACGGCUAACUACGUGCCAGCCGCCGCAGUAAAAC
rnacentral:rRNA from 1 species